rfam:Triticum aestivum genome assembly, contig: Triticum_aestivum_CS42_TGACv1_scaffold_577213_7BL
UCCACUACUCAGUUGGUAGAGUACAAAGAUCUUAACCUUAUGGAUGUGGGUUCAAGACCCAUGGUGGAG